ACCUUACCUACCCUUGACAUGUACGGAAUCCCGCUGAGAGGUGGGAGUGCCCGAAAGGGAGCCGUAACACAGGUGCUGCAUGGCUGUCGUCAGCUCGUGUCGUGAGAUGUUGGGUUAAGUCCCGCAACGAGCGCAACCCUUGUCCCUAGUUGCUACGCAAGAGCACUCCAGGGAGACUGCCGGUGACAAACCGGAGGAAGGUGGGGAUGACGUCAAGUCCUCAUGGCCCUUAUGGGUAGGGCUUCACACGUCAUACAAUGGUCGGAACAGAGGGUUGCCAAGCCGCGAGGUGGAGCCAAUCCCAGAAAACCGUUCGUAGUCCGGAUCGCAGUCUGCAACUCGACUGCGUGAAGCUGGAAUCGCUAGUAAUCGCGGAU
rnacentral:rRNA from 1 species